GAGCUGUGAAGAAACCGGUUUAGCGACGGUUGGGUCCAUCGCAUUCAUCUGAUUUCCAGAUGGUAUAGCCACAAUCCUGAGCUC